AUUGAACGCUGGCGGCAUGCCUUACACAUGCAAGUCGAACGGUAACAGGUCUUUCGGGAUGCUGACGAGUGGCGAACGGGUGAGUAAUACAUCGGAACGUGCCUAGUAGUGGGGGAUAACUACUCGAAAGAGUGGCUAAUACCGCAUGAGAUCUAUGGAUGAAAGCAGGGGACCUUCGGGCCUUGUGCUACUAGAGCGGCCGAUGGCAGAUUAGGUAGUUGGUGGGAUAAAAGCUUACCAAGCCUACGAUCUGUAGCUGGUCUGAGAAAACGAUCAGCCACACUGGGACUGAGACACUGCCCAGACUCCUACGGGAGGCAGCAGUGGGGAAUUUUGGACAAUGGGCGCAAGCCUGAUCCAGCAAUGCCGCGUGCAGGAUGAAGGCCUUCGGGUUGUAAACUGCUUUUGUACGGAACGAAAAGUCUUGGGUUAAUACCCUGGGAUCAUGACGGUACCGUAAGAAUAAGCACCGGCUAACUACGUGCCAGCCGCCGCAGUAAGAC
rnacentral:rRNA from 1 species